GACGAAGGUGGCGAGCGUUGUUCGGAAUCACUGGGCAUAAAGCGCACGUAGGCGGUCCGUUAAGUUGGAUGUGAAAGCCCUCGGCCCAACCGGGGAAUUGCGUCCAAAACUGUCGGACUUGAGGACUAGAGAGGUGCAUGGAAUUCCUGGUGGAGCGGUGAAAUGCGUUGAUAUCAGGAGGAACACCGGAGGCGAAGGCGAUGCACUGGCUGGUUUCUGACGCUGAGGUGCGAAAGCCAGGGGAGCAAACGGGAUUAGAAACCCUAGUAGU
rnacentral:rRNA from 1 species